GGUGCCGGCCAGCGCGGCGCAGAGCCGCAUCCCCUUCGCCCGCGUCAGCCACACCAAGUACAUGGUGACCGACAAGGCCGCCUACGUGGGCACAUCCAACUGGUCCGGGGAUUACUUCGAGCGCACGGCGGGCUCGGCGCUGGUGGUGGCGCAGCCCGGGCCGGGCCCCGGCUCCUUCCGGGAGCGGCUCGGGGCCGUCUUCGAGCGGGACUGGAGCUCCGGGCACAGCGUGGACAUCGGCGACACCGCCAGCUGGGCCGGGCGCUGCGGGCCCCGCUAGCGCCGGGGGGCCCCGCGGGGGCCGCGGGUUUGGGGGGGGAAAUAAAAGAAACGGGUUUUGUG